UUUCCUACGGGGGGCAGCAGUAGGGAAUUUUCGUCAAUGGGGGAAACCCUGAACGAGCAAUGCCGCGUGAGUGAAGAAGGCCUUCGGGUCGUAAAGCUCUGUUGUAAGAGAAAAACGGUAAUGAUAGGAAAUGAUCAUUAAGUGAUGGUAUCUUACGAGGAAGCCACGGCUAACUACGUGCCAGCAGCCGCGGUAAUACGUAGGUGGCAAGCGUUAUCCGGAAUGAUUGGGCGUAAAGGGUGCGUAGGCGGCCUGCUAAGUCUGGAGUGAAAGGUACCGGCUCAACCGGUACAGGCUCUGGAAAC
rnacentral:rRNA from 1 species